rnacentral:rRNA from 1 species
AUGGCCACCACCUGCUUCUCGAUGCCCUCCAGCCUCGCCCCGAACCGCCUGAACGCCUCCUGCGCCUUGGCGUCCGACGUCCACGCCGGCGUCUCGUGCUGCCCCAGGUACACCUCGUCCGAGGAGUGCUUGGACAGGAUCUCCAUCAGCGAGAUGCCCACCAGCGCCUGGAACUGGUUGGUGAUGGUGAGGAUGAAGGCCUUCUCCGGGUCGCGCUCCAGCAGGGCGUACUCCUCGCUGCCCGGCACCGGCAUCGGCCUCCGGCUCGCCGACGGCUUGUUGGGGUGGUAGCCUGAGUACGGGUACUGCCCGAAGUUGACGGCCGCGUGCAGCGCCGACCCGGUCCAGAUGAUGGUGGCGCAGGCCUUGAUCAGCUCCGCCACGGUGUGCAUCUUGGGCCACCACGCCGCGUCCUUGAGGUCGCCGUGCCCGACCUCCCGCACCUCCUUCCACCACGCCUGCAGCUCCACGUCGCCCUGCAGCACGCCGUCGUCCGGGUAG